AGUAAUACAUCGGAACGUGUCUUCUAGUGGGGGAUAACUGCCCGAAAGGGCAGCUAAUACCGCAUGAGACCUGAGGGUGAAAGCGGGGGAUCGCAAGACCUCGUGCUGGAAGAGCGGCCGAUGUCCGAUUAGCUAGUUGGUGAGGUAAAGGCUCACCAAGGCGACGAUCGGUAGCUGGUCUGAGAGGACGACCAGCCACACUGGGACUGAGACACGGCCCAG
rnacentral:rRNA from 1 species